rnacentral:rRNA from 1 species
UACGAGGGGGGCGAGCGUUGUUCGGAAUUAUUGGGCGUAAAGGGUGCGUAGGCGGUUCCGUAAGUCCUGUGUGAAAUCUUCGGGCUCAACUCGAAGUCUGCACGGGAAACUGCGGGGCUUGAGUGUGGGAGAGGUGAGUGGAAUUCCCGGUGUAGCGGUGAAAUGCGUAGAUAUCGGGGAGGAACACCUGUGGCGAAAGCGGCUCACUGGACCUAACUGACGCUGAUGCACGAAAGCUGGGGGAGCAAACAGG